GAAAAAAUCAAUAAAUAUCGCGUGAGUCACAUGAGUUUUCAUAUGUUUUGAAAAUGAAGUUGCUAGUCGCAUGUUUCGUUUUUUGCACUGUUUUGCAGGUGUAUGGUCAACAUCCAAAACGUGGAACACCUUGUAAUACGAAUGGAGCUAAAGAUAUUUUUAAAGACUCUUGUGAAUCUUGUAUAUGCCUAAAAGGUGUAUGGGAGUGCAAUCCUUUACGCUGUGUCGAACAUAACGAAUGUCCUGAUGAAGGACCUGAUUUAGCACUAGAUAACAUAGGAUGCAAUAGAUGUAGGCCAAGUAAAGCUGGUUGGGCUUGCACCAUGGUGUGGUGUUCUUCUGGCUGUCCCUGUCCGCAAAAUAUGCCUAAAAUUUUUGAAUGUUAAACAUUAGUAUAUGAUGUAAUAUUUUCUUUGAGAAAUAUAAACAAAAACUCUGCAAUUUUCAA